rnacentral:rRNA from 1 species
CCUACGGGAGGCAGCAGUGGGGAAUAGUGGGCAAUGGAGGCAACUCUGACCCAGCAACGCCGCGUGAAUGAUGAAGGUCUUCGGAUUGUAAAGUUCUGUGAUGGGGGAUGAACACAAUGACGGUACCCCAAUAGCAAGCCACGGCUAACUACGGGCCAGCAGCCGCGGUAAUACGUAGGUGGCAAGCGUUAUCCGGAAUGACUGGGCGUAAAGGGUGCGUAGGUGGUGAGACACGUCUGAAGUGAAAGCCCGGGGCUCAACCCCGGGACUGCUUUGGAAACUGCCUGACUGGAGUGCUGGAGAGGCAAGCGGUAUUCCUAGUGUAGCGGUGAAAUGCGUAGAUAUUAGGAAGAACACCAGUGGCGAAGGCGGCUUGCUGGACAGUAACUGACGUUGAGGCUCGAAAGCGUGGGGAGCAAACAGGAUUCGAUACCCCAGUAGUC